GCUCCUGAUGCAAGUAUAAUUGAGGUCGGCUCCUGCCCUGCAGCCGCAGGCUCAACUGCACGGCCUGGCGCGUCUUCACAAAAGGAAAGCCCCCACGAGGACUGCAACAACCGCAUUUCAUCCUUCUCUUUAAUAAGGCGGCUCCUGCCUCCACCGCAUAUUCCGGCGCUCUCUCAGCUACUUCAGUUGGUCUUCGCAUUAAUUAAAAGCAGGCUACGACGACGGUUCCUGGGAUCGAUGAUCUGUACCCUUGUGCAUUGCCGAUUCAUACUGAAAGCACAUCUUACACUUUCUGCGCAUGCGAAGCAGGCUAAUGGCCAUGUAUCCAGAACAAAGCAGAGUAACACAGUGACAAACGAUAAUUGCGAAGCCUAGGUAAUAAAUAAAAGCGCCAGGCAAUUCA